GAGGCCGAAAGGCGUAGUCGAUGGGAAACAGGUUAAUAUUCCUGUACUUGGUGUUACUGCGAAGGGGGGGCGGAGAAGGCUAUGUUGGCCGGGCGACGGUUGUCCCGGUUUAAGCGUGUAGGCUGGUUUUCCAGGCAAAUCCGGAAAAUCAAGGCUGAGGCGUGAUGACGAGGCACUACGGUGCUGAAGCAACAAAUGCCCUGCUUCCAGGAAAAGCCUCUAAGCAUCAGGUAACAUCAAAUCGUACCCCAAACCGACACAGGUGGUCAGGUAGAGAAUACCAAGGCGCUUGAGAGAACUCGGGUGAAGGAACUAGGCAAAAUGGUGCCGUAACUUCGGGA
rnacentral:rRNA from 1 species